CAGCGAAUGGGUAGGACGUGUCUUUAGAGCUGGAAAAGUAGAGAACGUCGUGAGAAUUGGGAAAAAAUUGUGUGGCGUUUAGUGCUCGUGUGUGGCUAUAACUCGCGUAUUUCUUUAUUUAUUAGUAAGCGUCGUUUUAGUUUUGCUUUUGUUUGUCAGUCGUUAAAAAGCUUAAACAUGUUUAAGUUGAGUUUUUGGAAAGCUUUAAGUGUUGUCUAUUUUAUUGGAAUAACGUCAUUAUGUGGAUUUACAAAUGCA